CUGGGGUGGCAAGAUGCUCAGUACCCUCUCUCCAUUUUGACUUAUUAUUUAAGGAGGGCAAAGAGGUACUGGUAGUUAACUCUCAAGGAGAAAUUUCACGGUUGAGCACCAAAAAGGAAGUGAUCAUGAAAGGAAAUAUCAACAAUUAUUUUAAAUUGGGUCAAGAAGGGAAGUAUCGCGUCUACCACAAUCAAUACUCCACCAAUUCAUUUGCUUUGAAUAAGCACCAGCACAGAGAAGACCAUGAUAAGA
rnacentral:lncRNA from 1 species